GUAAGGAAUAUUGGACAAUGGGGGAAACCCUGAUCCAGCCAUGCCGCGUGAGUGAAGAAGGCCUUCGGGUUGUAAAACUCUUUCAGAUGUGAAGAUGAUGACGGUAACAUCAGAAGAAGCUCCGGCUAACUUCGUGCCAGCAGCCGCGGUAAUACGAAGGGAGCGAGCGUUGUUCGGAAUCACUGGGCGUAAAGAGUGCGUAGGCGGUUAUACAAGUCAGGAGUGAAAUCCCAGAGCUUAACUUUGGAAUUGCUUUUGAAACUGUAUAGCUAGAGUCCCGGAGGGGUUAAUGGAAUUCCGAGUGUAGAGGUGAAAUUCGCAGAUAUUCGGAGGAACACCAGUGGCGAAGGCGAUUAACUGGACGGGCACUGACGCUGAGGCACGAAAGCGUGGGGAUCAAACAGGAUUAGAAACCCUAGUAGUCC
rnacentral:rRNA from 1 species